rnacentral:rRNA from 1 species
AGAGUUUGAUCAUGGCUCAGAAUCAACGCUGGCGGCGUGCCUAACACAUGCAAGUCGAGCGAGAAAAGGGUAGCAAUAUCCUGAGUAAAGCGGCGCACGGGUGAGUAACACGUGGGUAAUCUGCCCUGGAGUGGGGAAUAACACCGGGAAACCGGUGCUAAUACCGCAUACGAUCACGAGGUCUGCGGACUUUGUGAUGAAAGGAGCAAUUCGCUCUAGGAGGAGCCCGCGGCUGAUUAGCUAGUUGGUGAGGUAAUGGCUCACCAAGGCUACGAUCAGUAUCCGGUCUGAGAGGACGGUCGGACACACUGGAACUGAGACACGGUCCAGACUCCUACGGGAGGCAGCAGUGGGGAAUUUUUCGCAAUGGGGGCAACCCUGACGAAGCAACGCCGCGUGGGUGAUGAAGUAUCUCGGUACGUAAAACCCUUUCGACGGGGAAGAAACCGCAAGGUUGACGGUACCCGUAGAAGAAGCCCCGGCUAACUCCGUGCCAGCAGCCGCGGUAAUACGGGGGGGGCAAGCGUUGUUCGGAAUUACUGGGCGUAAAGGGUGCGUAGGCGGUCCGCUAAGUUGGAUGUGAAAACUCUGGGCUUAACCCAGAGCCUGCAUUCAAAACUGACGGGCUAGAGUUCUGGAGGGGGUAGCGGAAUUCCUGGUGUAGCGGUGAAAUGCGUAGAUAUCAGGAGGAACACCGGUGGCGAAGGCGGCUACCUGGACAGAAACUGACGCUGAGGCACGAAAGCUAGGGGAGCAAACAGGAUUAGAUACCCUAGUAGUCC